AUAAAUCUGCUGAGGUGAAACAACCCUAUUAUCCUGGUGGAUCUCUUGAGUUCAGGAGUUCUGGGCUGCAGCAGGCUAAGCUAAUUGGUGUCCACACAAAGUUAGGCAUGAAUAUGGUGAGCCUCUGGGACUGGGGGCCCCCAAGUUGCUUAAGGCAGAACAAACUAGACCAGAUCAGAAACGGAGCAAACAAAACUCCUCUGCCAAUCAAAGUGGUAUCAGACCCCUGAGUAGCUCCUGUAAUUUCAGCCUGGGUAAGAUAAGGAGAUCCAGUUUUU
rnacentral:SRP_RNA from 1 species